UACGAAGGGGGCUAGCGUUGCUCGGAAUCACUGGGCGUAAAGCGCACGUAGGCGGAUCGUUAAGUCAGGGGUGAAAUCCUGGAGCUCAACUCCAGAACUGCCCUUGAUACUGGCGACCUUGAGUUCGGGAGAGGUGAGUGGAACUGCGAGUGUAGAGGUGAAAUUCGUAGAUAUUCGCAAGAACACCAGUGGCGAAGGCGGGUCUCUGGACAGUUCCUGACGCUGAGGCACGAAGGUCAGGGGAGCAAACGGG
rnacentral:rRNA from 1 species